rnacentral:rRNA from 1 species
AUCGAACGCUGGCGGCAGGCCUAACACAUGCAAGUCGAACGCGUGGCGGACGGGUGAGUAACGUCUGGGAACCUGCCCGAUGGGGGGGGAUAACUCAUGGAAACGGUAGUAAAUCACGCCAUCCAUCGGUAGUGCCCAGAUGGGAUUAGCGAGUAGGUGGGGUAACGGCUCACCUAGGCGAUGAUCCCUUGCCGGUCAGAGAGGGUGACCAGCGACACUGGAACUGAGACACGGUCCAGACUCCUACGUGAGGCAGCAGUGGGGAAUAUUGGACAAUGGGCGCAAGCCUGAUGCAGCCAUGCCGCGUGAAUGAAGAAGGCCUUCGGGUUGUAAAGUACUUUCAGCGAGGAGGCGUUACUCGCAGAAGAAGCACCGGCUAACUCCGUGCCAGCAGCCGCGGUAAUUC